GCCGGGUGCACCUCGCGAGCUAGCUGCCGCCCCGCCUGUGUCGCGGUCGUACCCUCCGCCCUCUGCGCCGAGAGCCGCUGCCGCCCGAGACCUUCGAGGGCUCCUCGCCCCUGCUUCCUGGGAGACCCUCUCCGCUGGGAGAGUCGCAGUCACGGAGCCGGGGGACACCUGUACGGGCAGGCGGCCGGCGAAGGCCCGGCCCGAGAGGAAGCGGGCCCCGAACGCCGCAACUGCCUGGGAAGCGGCUUUGCGGCCGGGCGUGGUGGAGCACAUCUGAGGGCCCAGCUACUCGGGAGCUGAGGCAGGAGGAUCCCUUAAGCCUGGGAAGUCAAGGCUGCAGUGAGCCGAGAUGGGUGCCACUUCACUCCAGCCUAGGCGACAGAGUGAGACUUGCAGAAGGAAAGAGAGAAAAGAAAUACAGUAACAGUUAAUAAAAUUCUUAACACAC
rnacentral:lncRNA from 10 species